rnacentral:siRNA from 1 species
AAUCGUCGAAUCUAAAUGUGUGAC